GCCUCUUUAGCUCAGUGGUAGAGCACUGGUCUCGUAAACCAGGGGUCGGCGGUUCAAACCCGCCAGGAGGCA
rnacentral:tRNA from 1 species